rnacentral:tRNA from 1 species
GGGGCCAUAGCUCAGCUGGGAGAGCGCUUGCAUGGCAUGCAAGAGGUCGUGGGCUCGAAUCCCAUCAGCUCCA